GCGAGGAGCCAGCCACCGUCGCCGUCACCGUGGCCGUUGCUGCUGCCUCAGGGACUGGGCCACCGGCCGCUUCGACUUCUGCUGCGCCAAGGCAACUUGUAGGAGUUUGCGUGGCUGCUCCUUACUCCCUGAACGCCUCGGUAGUUCCCGCAGCAAAGACGCACGAGAGAACAGCGACCUCGAACCCAUUCCCGGUUCCCGCUGAGGGCAAAGAGCGUCAGAACUAGAACGCGGGAGCUCGAGCGCAGAACACUGGAGCCGAGCUCAAGGCGGAACCUGGCUGGUGAGCCGGAGAGCAAAGCUGCUGUUCCCACCCUCAGCGCCAGUAACAUGGCUGUAACAUUUCAUUGUAAUGUUUCCUGGGCUCAGCGCAGAAAGAAGACAACAAAAUUCCCUGGUCUGUUAUGCAGGGGAUCAAGUCGCCAGCAGCCUGACGCCGUGAGGUACCUCGUGUGCAGCCCGCAGCGCGGAUUCCAUGGGACAAGGGAUCAGCUCGCGCAAACCCCCGCUGACCUUGCUGAUGAUCUGUGAAGAUUCUGUAUUGAGAUCUUUACUCAGAGCAUGAGGAAGGAAUGAGACUCUUUUGUCUCCUAGAAUGAGGAGCGGGCAUAGUCCAGAAGGUCAGUCUAUGUUCGUUAUCUCGGCCCCAAGUUCGGCAGCUCCCAGCAGAGUCCCGGGUUUAGACUGCAGACCGGCAAGGACUCCCGGUAAUUGCCCCCCCAGCGUGGAGGGAUGCAGGCGGGGGGCUGACUGAGGCCAGGGCAGAGACCCCCACUGCUGCUGAGAAGGGCUGACAGCCCUGGUUGAAGGAGCAGGAGGCUUCUUCGUUAUUUCUGUAACGUUAUAACGCUGCUGAGCUGGUGUUUCGUGCGGAAGCCUGUCCUGUAGGCAGUUUGCCUUUGGAGAAAACUUUGUGGAUCAGGGUACGGUUACGGAGCUCCGCGCUUCCGUACCUGCGUGUGCCCCGGCAGGCAGAGCCAAGGUGGCGUUUGGAGGUACCCAAACGCGUGAUCUCCUGCGCUCGGAUUCUGGGCUUAACCAAGUUUUUCGAUGAAGCCCACUGCUUACCAUUGAGGAUGCUGGGCACUCCUUGCACGCUUGAGACUUACCAGAAGAACUGAGACACCAGUCAAUAAAAAGGGCAGGUUUCUACUUUCCUUUUAAGGAAAGGUUAGGUGAAAAAGCCGUUAAAGCAAUCACCGGCAGCACAGACCUGCUCAGUACAAGGCAGCUUUCUCCUCAUCUCACCGGGCUUUUAUUUGCUCAUAAUGCAGGGCCUGAUUCUGCAGGUCCUGCCAUGCCGCUGCAACUUAAUUCUGUGCGAGGAGCUCGGAAAGGCUCAUCAUCAAAGUAACGCGGGUGAGCGUGGCCAAUGGCUGGUUUUAGCUUUAAUUUUGCAAGUGCUGAG